rnacentral:RNase_P_RNA from 1 species
CGAGUUGGCCGGGUAAUCGCUGCUUUAUUGAUGUCAUUUGGGAGACUGAUAAAGGGGAGGAAAGUCCGGGCUCCUCAGGGCAGGGUGCCAGGUAACGCCUGGGAGGCGCGAGCCUACGACCAGUGCAGCAGAGAGUAUACCGCCGAUGGCUCUUCGGAGCUCAAGUAUGGGUGAAAGAGUGCGGUAAGAGAGCACCGCGCGACUGGCAACAGUUCGUGGCACGGUAAACUCCACCCGGAGCAAGACCAAA